rnacentral:rRNA from 1 species
UUGGAGGGCAGUCUGGUGCCAGCAGCCGCGGUGAUUCCAGCUCCAAUAGCGUAUAUUAAAGUUGUUGCAGUUAAAAAGCUCGUAGUUGAACUUCGGGGUCUACCCAUUGGUCAGGCUUAAUUGUCUGCACUGGUGAGAUGGAUCUCUACCUUCUGAGGAACUUUCAUGCCAUUUAUUUGGUGUGAUUGGAAAUCAGGACUGUUACUUUGAAAAAAUUAGAGUGUUUAAAGCAGACUAUCGUCUGAAUACAUUAGCAUGGAAUAAUGAAAUAGGACGGACUGAUUCUAUUUCGUUGGUUUCUAGGAUCACCGUAAUGAUUAAUAGGGAUAGUUGGGGGCAUUAGUAUUCAAUUGUCAGAGGUGAAAUUCUUGGAUUUAUUGAAGACUAACUACUGCGAAAGCAUUUGCCAAGGAUGUUUUCAUUAAUCAAGAACGAAAGUUAGGGGAUCGAAGACGAUCAGAUACCGUCGUAGUCUUAACCAUAAACUAUGCCGACUAGGGAUCGGACGAAGUUAAUUUUAUAAUGACGCGUUCGGCGCCUUACGGGAAAC